GCGGCGAAGGCGGCGGCGUCGGGGCCGGGGCCGGCGUAGGGCAGCGCGGCGGGGCGCAGCGGCUCGUCGGCGCUCAGCGGCGCGUCCUUGGCCACCAGCGACUCGAUGGUGAAGCAGCGCUUCGCGGACGGCUGGAACAUGCGAGGCUCAGACGUGAUCCCGCGACUCCAGGAUGCGGCGCCUUAAGAAAAACCCACCAAACGUCGCCGGGCCCCGGGGCGAGAAGCCACAGAGACCCGGGGGGACCCCGAGCUUCGUCCCCUGCUCGGUCCCCGCUGCACGGCGCUGGUCCAGAAACGCUCGCACCGAAAGGGAAGAGCCUGGAUGCGUCCCUACCGCCUUUCGGAGAAGGACAGGACGCCGGUGGCUUUGCCCUUGCCAGGCUGCAGCUCCGGGCUGCCGCCGCUCCGGCCCGUGGCCGUUCCCCGGUCUCGGUACGCCCUCAGCUGGUCACAGAAAAUGGGAAAAAGGGGAGAAAAACAGUUCACGUCAUUUUGCCAGCGAGACGCUUGCUGAGCCGCGGUGGUGAUGCGGAUGGUGCUGCUCUCGCGGUGGCCUGGAAGCUCCCUUAGAUAGUUUCCUUGCUCCACCAGCCCGGAGCAUCCUGCCCCACGGUCUCCCCGAGGAAGCGAGGGUUGCUCACGCCUCCCCGUCUGACUUCUGCCAGGCCUCCGGACCCGCUGGGAGAGCUGGCUCCUCCCAGGCUCGUCCCAGACCCAGCAAGCCCCAGAAGUGGCUGGUCCUCUCUGAUCUGCUCUGCUUCUGCUGUUCUGCUUUGGCCCAGGGCCCGGCAAAGCCCACGCUCCCAUCGCACCUUUGCACGAUCCCAGGCGCGGAUGCGUGUCCCUCGGAUGACACGAGACACGGUGAGGUGUCCCCUAGCCCGGGAGCUUCGCACGCCAGCAGCCAGGACAGCUGCAUGCAGACAGGUCAGAGCUUGUUCCCUCCGCAGACCUGGUGUAAAACCCCAAAAUGCAGAAAGCCGGCCAGGACACGGCCUAGAUGCAGGGCUGGAAGCAGCCCACGUCCUUGGGGAGAGCAGAGGGCGAGGCAUCACUGAAGAAGGCCUGAGCGAUGGGCAGUGCCGUGGCCGGCAGACGAUGACUUGGGACGUCCCUAACUUGAUCCUUGCUGGAGAGCCACCUACCAUGCAGCGGAGAAGCUGACCACAGAGAACAUGCAUGGCCCAAAGUCAGAGGGGUCUUAAACUUAACAGAGGAAGAAAAUCCCUCACGAGCCCUGAAGUGGGCAUUGCUCAGCCUGGGCACCUCACCUCCGGCUGUGGGGGCGAGCAAUGCCGGGUUAUCCCGUGUAGGGACCUUCUCUAAGCCUCUUUUCUGCCCUGGGGCCACACGAAGCAAAGGGUCCCUUUUUUGCUGCAUGCAUCUCCCCUGCUGUGUUCCCCUCCUUGAUGUGCUCCUCCUCUCCCUUCCUGAUCUUCUCACUUCUUUGCCACCUGCAGCCCUCAUGGCCUUCUUCCAUGCAUUCCUUGGAGCAGCCCAGAGGAGGGAGCCCAUCUCCAUGGACUACCAAGAGCACACUGGCCUGGCCGCCCAUCCUGGCUCUCUCCAUCACCGGUCAUCAGCCCAGAACCCGUCAGAUGGCUCCAUCCUCCCUGAGUGACAUCCCACCCCACUCCUCUGUGGUCAGCUGCCCAUCUUCAUCCCAGCCUGGCUCAGCUCUUCCGACAGCAGCCAUGCGUUCAUCCAGGAGCACCCCACCACCACGGCUCUCCUUACCCCGGUGCGGAGGUGGAGAGGGCUCUGCCGCGAUGUGCUCACCCACGGACGGGGUGGAGCUGGCAAAUUGCGUGGUGGCAGAGCCGUGGCUGCUUAACGAUUCACGGAGGUGAGUGGUGUAGCCCACUGAAGCACCAGAAAACUUCUGAGAUCAGGAAGACUGGGGAAAAAAAAAAUCUGGCACAGAUCUACUAGAUAACAGCUCCGAUUCCUGGGGAAAACAAAAGGCAAAGCGAAAAAUAGCUAUACACAUUGCCAAGGUGGUUUGAGAAAGCCCCACCAGACCCGUGGGGUCUUUUGCCCCGAGAGCAUCGCCAGCAUCUCUCCCUUGGAAGCGCCUUGCUCCCCGGGUUCGAGUGACGAGCCCGGUGCGUCCCUGGAGGUUACAGAGCCAUGCUGAAUCCUAAUCGCAUGCACAGCGAGUCCCCGUGGAAGAAAACCAUGAGAAUAACUCAUCCGGGCGGCAGCUUGGAGCCCAGUCAAGUGACGGAGUGGCUGAGCUGAAGACAAACUUACUCCAUUUAACUUCUAGCACAUGGUUGAUUCACCAGCAAAAUUUAGCAGGAUGAGCCACAACGCAUCACCAGGGCCGUAAGAUUCAGGCUGAUUUAUGGGCUGGCUCUCGAAGCGUAGAUGUUAGCAACAGGUUUUUUCUGUCAAGCAAGGCAGCGGUGUCCUUGUUGAAGGGAUGGUGACGCCGAGGCUCUAACUUUGGUCCUCAUGCUGCCGCUGGAUCGGUGAUAGCAGGAGAAAACUAAUGGUGAACUGGUGUUUUGGAGAGCUGAUAGGACCAUGUGGGCUGUAAGGGGUCUUUCAGCCUGCCAGUGGCCCUGGGCAAAAUCACAGUGGCAAAUAACUCAAGGAGAGUCAGGAAUGGUGAGCGCAGGGCAAAGGAGUGGGGAGAAACAACUCGGGGACAAACCCAGACAGGCCAAGGACCUCUGGUCACAGCCACGUGUGUCCGGGACGGAUGGUGGUCAGCGGCUGCUCCUGCUCCGGGGGGAGGGUGGCCGGGUGUCCUCUCCACCCCUCCUCGCUGGGGUCUGCGGCAGACCGUAGCCCUUUCCCUUGCAAUUCCCACCUUCAUCCCAGAGCGGCGUGUCGCCCCAAACGGGAAGGCUCGUAACGAAGCGAUGAUUUAGCUCACAUUUAGAAAACUGGCACCGUUUGGUUUCUCGUGAUGGCACAGAGAAGUCUGAAUCAUCAAACUUCCCCCUAUUUACCAGCUCAAAGGCGAGGAGGCAAAGGCAGAGAGAUGCUCAAACCAGUCUCCUUUUAGCGAUGUAAAGCUUCGCAUCUCACGCGUUUCCAAAGCCCGCGUUCGCCCCCCGGGCUGGCAGCACCACCGGGACGAGCUCAGCCGCGUUUCCCAGGGCGCAGCGCAUUUUUUGGGGGCUUUUCUCUAGCCACCGCACUACUCAGCCCGUCCACCCAUCCGCGGCGUCUUUCGUGCUCCAGUCUCUACUUCCCGGCCCCCAAAAGAGCUGCACAGUGCAGCGGUGGCAUUUUGGGGCUCAUUCCCUGCAAAGAGACGGCUGCAAAACCACCUGCAGGUUCCGGCAUGACUUGGACGAGGUCGGACCCGAAAGCCCCAGGUGUCAGCUCUGACCUGGUGCGACUGAAGUGGCUCGAAAAAAGGGCGAAAAGGUGCAGCUGCAUCUCCCACGCCGGUUAGUGCUUGGCUGGUAGCGAGGGGUCCCCGUGCCCUGGUCAGUCCUGUCCCCCUCACAGCUCCUCCUGCAAUUUGGGGCUCCUCGAGCCUCCCCCCGCAGCCCCAGCUUGGUCUGAGACCCCACAGGCGCAGGAUUCAGGGCCCCUAGGUCUGAGCAUCGGUGUUUUUUAUUUGCAAAAGGGCCUGAUCUCUGCUGCAGAGCUGAGAGCUGCCUUGCCAGGGCCCACAGGGACGUGGGGUUAGGAGACACGGGAGUUUUAGCUUUCUCCAAGAGCCAGGUGAGUCUGGGGACCCACCAAGGCCCGGGCACGACAGCAGCAACCCUGGGAGCUUAGCUCUGAACGGGGACAGCUGGUCACACCAAAACCACCUCCAAAACACUCGAGUGCCUCAUCAUCCCCCCUUGGUAGACACAGAGUUAAUGAAAUCACUGGGAGACGGAAGGAGCGGGCACGGGAUGGCGCGCACGGCAGGCCACCCAGACCAGACGUGACAUUUUUAAUGACUGUAGACCAGCGUAGACAGCGCUGAGGACACGGUGAAGCAGUGGUUUCCCCCGUGCACCUCGGGGUGCUACGAGAACUGCUAAGGCACCCAGAGAGCAGCGAGCACGCGGCAGAGACGGGAGGCACCAGACGCGCAGCUGGGCGGACAGGAGCACAAAGCAAAGCGCGAAGGCGAGUCGCGGGGCCGGCGGCUCAGACGUCGUAGAAGUCCACGUGGGCGCCGGAGCGGAAGGUGUCCUCUUCCAGGAGCUUCAGCAGCUUCUGGGCCGACACGGCGCAGUCGAUCAGCUGCCCGCUCUCCUGGAGGCCCUGCAGGUGCUGACGCAGCUCGGGGUCCCCGGUUUGAGUCCGGGCCAAGAGCUGCAUGUCCGUGUCCAGAGGACCUGGGGAAAAAGCAAUGAGAAGUCACAUCAGCAGAACCCCAAAUCUGCACUCGCUUUCCUUCUGCAUCUGAGCCGGCUGCAGGAACAUCUCUUCUAGCCACGGAGCGGGGGAAAAUUAAGAGCAAUUAAUGCCCAAAAGAGCUCUGCUAUCUGCACACCGACACCAGGUCACACGUGGCUGAUACCGCAGUCCGGGCAUGAAGGAGGCAAGGGAAGGGGAAAAACAGCCAGUCCGACAUCUGCCCGCGAUGCACCCCUUCCCGCGGCCCGGCUGGCCUCUCCCAGCAGUGGGAAGGCGGCAGCAGCAGCGCAGCAGCAAUGCCGGCGCUGGGCAGGCCGCGAUGCCGCUGUUCCCACCCGGAUGGGUUCCCGUUCCAUGAUCUCGCGGGCGCAAUCGCGGCAGGGCGCUGCUGCGGCCCCCUGCUCACCCGGCGCGUAGUUGAGCACGCGGACGUCGGGCUCCUCCAGCGCCAGGACCUGGAAGAGCAUGUCGCGGGCGGCCUUCCCGCUGCAGUACAGCGCCCAGUUCUUGAAGGGCUUCAGGGCGCAGAGCGAAGAGACGUUCACCACCGUCCGGCUGACGCCGGGGCGCUUCCCGAAGGCUUCCAGGGCGGUGGAGGUGAGACAAAGCGCCGAGCUGACGUUGAAGGCAAAAUAGCUGUUGACUUCAUGCAGGUCAGUGAGAUCUACGAAGGAUUUGGAGAUGUCUCCCAGCGAGCCUGCAAGGGAAGGCGGGAGAGCUGCCCGUCUCCGAUGAAUCCAGCAGAUAUCAAGCAGCCCCCCCACCUGCCGCAGGAGUUUAACCCUCCUGUCGAGGCAGGAGGAGCGGAGGCACGGGCAGCUCCUGCGAUUUGCUACCAGGCCUUGGCUCAGCAUCCCAGAGACCCGGCUAGCGGCACAGGUUCAGUCUGGUUAGACUCAGUCUGAUCACCGCUUUUGGGUGAGUGAAGGGUCCCAGCGUUGCUCUCCCAACACCCUGCUUUGAAAAAAAUAACCCAAAAGCCAAACAAAACUAAAGCCCUUUUGCUUCUUGCCACCUGCUACUCAGUUUUGUUAUUUAUUGGUACCCGAAGCAGUCGGGUCUGCUGGUGCUGAACGAAUAAAAUCUCUGCCUCGGACACGUCA